rnacentral:rRNA from 1 species
AUUGAACGCUGGCGGCAGGCCUAACACAUGCAAGUCGAACGGUAACAGGAAGCAGCUUGCUGCUUCGCUGACGAGUGGCGGACGGGUGAGUAAUGUCUGGGAAGCUGCCUGAUGGAGGGGGAUAACUACUGGAAACGGUAGCUAAUACCGCAUAACGUCGCAAGACCAAAGAGGGGGACCUUAGGGCCUCUUGCCAUCGGAUGUGCCCAGAUGGGAUUAGCUAGUAGGUGGGGUAACGGCUCACCUAGGCGACGAUCCCUAGCUGGUCUGAGAGGAUGACCAGCCACACUGGAACUGAGACACGGUCCAGACUCCUACGGGAGGCAGCAGUGGGGAAUAUUGCACAAUGGGCGCAAGCCUGAUGCAGCCAUGCCGCGUGUAUCAAGAAGGCCUUCGGGUUGUAAAGUACUUUCAGCGGGGAGGAAGGGAGUAAAGUUAAUACCUUUGCUCAUUGACGUUACCCGCAGAAGAAGCACCGGCUAACUCCGUG